rnacentral:rRNA from 1 species
GACGAACGCUGGCGGCGUGCUUAACACAUGCAAGUCGAACGGAAAGGCCCUGCUUUUGUGGGGUGCUCGAGUGGCGAACGGGUGAGUAACACGUGAGUAACCUGCCCUUGACUUUGGGAUAACUUCAGGAAACUGGGGCUAAUACCGGAUAGGAGCUCCUGCUGCAUGGUGGGGGUUGGAAAGUUUCGGCGGUUGGGGAUGGACUCGCGGCUUAUCAGCUUGUUGGUGGGGUAGUGGCUUACCAAGGCUUUGACGGGUAGCCGGCCUGAGAGGGUGACCGGCCACAUUGGGACUGAGAUACGGCCCAGACUCCUACGGGAGGCAGCAGUGGGGAGUAUUGCACAAUGGGCGGAAGCCUGAUGUAGCAACGCCGCGUGCGGGAUGACGGCCUUCGGGUUGUAAACCGCUUUCGCCUGUGACGAAGCGUGAGUGACGGUAAUGGGUAAAGAAGCACCGGCUAACUACGUG